CGGUAGGUCUUAUACGGUCAGCUCCUGCUGAACUCCCCCAGGACAGGAAUGUAGCAAGGGUAGGUGGUUGUAGCGUCGCGAUGUAAGUAAUCUACCGGUU
rnacentral:SRP_RNA from 2 species